rnacentral:rRNA from 1 species
CCUACGGGCGGCUGCAGUGGGGAAUAUUGCACAAUGGGCGCAAGCCUGAUGCAGCCAUGCCGCGUGUGUGAAGAAGGCCUUCGGGUUGUAAAGCACUUUCAGCGGGGAGGAAGGCGUUAAGGUUAAUAACCUUGGCGAUUGACGUUACCCGCAGAAGAAGCGCCGGCUAACUCCGUGCCAGCAGCCGCGGUAAUACGGAGGGUGCAAGCGUUAAUCGGAAUUACUGGGCGUAAAGCGCACGCAGGCGGUCUGUCAAGUCGGAUGUGAAAUCCCCGGGCUCAACCUGGGAACUGCAUUCGAAACUGGCAGGCUAGAGUCUUGUAGAGGGGGGUAGAAUUCCAGGUGUAGCGGUGAAAUGCGUAGAGAUCUGGAGGAAUACCGGUGGCGAAGGCGGCCCCCUGGACAAAGACUGACGCUCAGGUGCGAAAGCGUGGGGAGCAAACAGGAUUAGAUACCCGUGUAGUC